ACUAGACAUCUAGGGAGAAAGAACUGUUUCGAUGCGGGCUAUGAGAGUGGUACCAAAUGGAGGCAAACUCUAAAUACAAGAUAUGACCUCAAAGUAACAAGGGUCAAAAACAUCUUAGUAACCAGAGGAAAAAAAAAAAGUAAAAGCAAUUCCCAUAGUAGCGGCGAGCAAAAUGGGAGCAACCUAAACUGUGAAAACGAGGUUAUGGUAAAGUAAUACAAGCGUCGUGCUGCUAGACGAAGCAAUGGAGUGCUACACCUAGAUGGAGAGAGUCUAGUAGCUAAAAGUAUCACUAGCUUACACUCUGACCCAAGUAGCAUGGGACAAGUGAAAUCCCGUGUGAAUCAGCAAGGACCAUCUUGCAAGGCUAAAUAUUCCUGGGUGACCGAUAGUGAAGUAGUACCGUCAGGGAAGGGUGAAAACAACCCCCACCGAGGAGUGAAAUAGAACAUAAAACCGUAAGCUCCCAAGAAGUGGGAGAAGACCAGGGCUCUGAUCGUGUGCCUGUUGAAGUAUGACCCAGCGACUUAUAGGCAGUGGCUUCAUUAAGGGAACCCACCAGAGCCAUAGUGAAGCGAGUCUUCAUAGGGCAAUUGUUAUUGCUUAUGGAACCAAACUUGGGUGAUCUAUCCAUAACCAGGAUGAAGCGUGGUUGAAACUAAGUGGAGGUCCGAACCGACUGAUGUUGAAGAAUCAGUGGAUGACUUGUGGUUAGGGGUGAAAUGCCACUCGAACCUAGAGCUAGCUAGUUCUCCCUGAAAUGCAUUAAGGUAGAGCAAUUGACUGGACAUCUAGGGGUAAAGCACUAUUUCGGUGCGAGCCGCAAGAGCGGUACCAAAUUGAGGCAAACUCUGAAUACUAUAUAUGACCUCAAAAUAACAGGGGUCAAGGUCGACCAGUGAGAUGAUGGGGGAUAAGCUUCAUCAUCAGAAGGACACAGCUCGGAUCACCGACUAAGGCCCCCAAAUGACCACUCAAUGAUAAAGGAGGUACGGGUGCAGAGACAGCUAGGAGGUUUGCCUAGAAGCAGCCACCCUUGAAAGAGUGCAUAAUAGCUCACUGAUCAAGUGCUCUUGCACCGAAGAUGAACGGGGCUAAGCGAUCUAUCAAAGCUGUGGGAUGUAAAAAUGCAUCGGUAGGGGAGCAUUCCGCCUAGAGGGAAGCACCCGCACGAGCAAUGAUAAAUGAAGCAAAAGCGAGAAUGUCAGCUUGAGUAAUGUAGAACCUAAGGGUUCCUCUGCAAGGUUUGUCCACGGAGGGUGAGUCAGGGCCUAAGAUCAGGCCUGAAGGCAUAGUCGAUGGACAACAGGUGAAUAUUCCUAUACACCCCUUGUUGGUCUUGAGGGACGGAGGAGGCUAGUUUGGCCGAAAGAUGGUUAUCAACUCAAGGAAGCAAGGUGCCCCUGCUUUUUCAGGAUAAGAAGGGGUAGAUAAAAUGCCUUGAGCCAAUGUUCAAGUACCAGGCGCUACGACACUAAAGUAACCCAUGCCAUACUCCCAGGAAAAGUUCGAACAGCCUUCAACAAAAAAGUGCCUGUACCUUAAAACUAACACAGGUGGGUAGGUAGAGAAUACCUAGGGGUGUGAGACAACUCUCUCUAAGGAACUCGACAAAAUAGCCCCAUAACUUCUGGAAAAUGGGUGCCUCCUCACAAAGGGGGUCACAGUGACCAGGCCUAGGCAUCUGUUUACAAAAAACACAAGUCUUCACAAAGUUGUAAGACCAUGUAUGGGGGCUGACGCCUACCCAGUUCCAAAAGGUCAAGGAAGUUGAUGACCUAAUGACAGGGGAGUCGGCGAUUGAAGCCUCGAAGCCCCGGUGAACGACGACUGUAACUAUAACGGUCCUAAGGUAAUGAAAUUCCUUGUUGGGUAAGUUCCAACCCGCACGAAAGGCGUAACAAUCUGGGCAUCUGACCCUCACAAAAGGCGUAACAAUCUGGGCACUAUCUCACAGAGAGGCUCGUUGAAAUAGAUAUGUCUGUGAAGAUGCGAACUACUUGCAUCUGGACAGAAAGACCCUAUGAAGCUUCACUCUUCCUUGGGAUUGGUUUUGGGCCUUUCUUGCGUAGCUUAGGUGGAGGGUGAAGAUGGCCUCCUUCCGCAUGUGCACGCACGAGGUAGGGGGGGGGCAGCCGAGCUGUCAGUGAGAUACCACUCUGGAAGAGCUACAAUUCUAACCUUGUGUCAGGACCUACAGGCCAAGGGAUAGUCUUAGGUAGACAGUUUCUAUGGGGCGUAGGCUUUGCAAAAGGUAAUGGAGGCGUGCAAAGGUUUUCUCGAGCCGGACAGAGAUUGGCCCUUGAGUGCAAAGGCAGAAGGGAGCUUAAUUGCAAGACCCACCUGUCGAGCAGGGAUGAAAGUCGACCUUAGUGAUCCAGUGGUGCCAAGUGGAAGGGUCGUCACUUAAUGGAUAAAAGUUACUCUAAGGAUAACAGGUUGAUCUUUCCCAAGAGCUCACAUCGACGAGAAGGUUUGGCACCUCAACAUCGGCUCUUCACCACCUGGAGCUAUAGUAUGUUCUAAGGGUUAGGCUAUUCACCCAUUAAAGCGGUAUGCGAGCUGGGUUCAAAACAUCAUGAGACAUUUCGAUCCAUAUCCAGUGUGGGCAUUAGAGCAUUGAGAGGACCUUUCCCUAGUAUGAGAGGACUGGGAGGGACGCACCUCUGGCGUAUUAGUUAUCGUGCCCACAGUAAACGCUGGGUAGCUAAGUGAAGUGCGGAUAACUGCUGAAAGCAUCUAAGUAGUAAGCCCACCCCAAGAUGAGUGCUCUCCUAUUCCGACUUCCCCAGAGCUUUCGAUAGCACAGCCAAGAUAGCAUCGGGUUUUCAACCCCUAUGGGGGUGGAGCGAUGGAAGUUUUGAGAAUUUAAGAGAAGGUCACAGUGAGAUGAGCCAUUUAUCAUUACGAUAGGUGUCAAGUGGAAGUGUAGUGAUGUAUGCAGCUGAGGCAUCCUAACAGACCGAUAGACUAGAAC
rnacentral:rRNA from 1 species